rnacentral:sRNA from 1 species
AUUUAAACCUGAUUGUAGUGGAAAUCCUUUUAGUUGCAGUUUCAAACAGUUUGCACCAAUCAUCGCAAAAAGAUUGUAACAAAAAGCAGGGCUGCUU